rnacentral:sRNA from 2 species
AUCGGAUUCCCAACGAAGCAUUCCAGGGACGAGGACGGGGGACCCAAGGUCCUCCUGGAGAACGUGAGUUCUCGGAUGGACACCGGUUCGAAUGUGCAACACACACUCGAACCUUGGGGUGAAGCCAGACGCUCUCGCGCACGCGAGAGAUCAGGCCGGGCGACCUCUCAGCCCGAACCCGACAGCUGACCUCGCAGGCGCGUGUGGAGAGGAUCU